rnacentral:rRNA from 1 species
UACGUAGGUGGCAAGCGUUAUCCGGAUUUACUGGGUGUAAAGGGCGUGUAGGCGGAAAAGCAAGUCAGAUGUGAAAACCACGGGCUCAACCUGUGGCCUGCAUUUGAAACUGUUUUUCUUGAGUACUGGAGAGGCAGACGGAAUUCCUCGUGUAGCGGUGAAAUGCGUAGAUAUGAGGAGGAACACCAGUGGCGAAGGCGGUCUGCUGGACAGCAACUGACGCUGAGGCGCGAAAGCGUGGGGAGCAAACAGG